rnacentral:rRNA from 1 species
AAACCGUUGAAAGGGAAGCGAAUGGAGUUAGCAAUUCGUUUGUCAGAUUCAGUUGCAUGCGCGCWGCAACGUGCUCGCUCUUGAUCCGCAYGGACAAGGCCUGUACGGAUGCGACGUGCAAGCGGCGCACUUCUGGCAGGCGAGCGUCAGCGUCGGUUGUUGUYGAGCGAUAAGGUUGCGGGGAAGGUGAACGAGAUUUCUCGUUGUUAAGCCCCGCAUUCGCAUAGCUCAAUGGCGACCGUGGCACUGCGACACGUGCUUUGCUGGCAACCCGAUUUCUCGGUCCGACAUGUCAACUGUGGUGGACGGCACGCCUGUGCACUCGAACCGCUGUCGGUCGCGUAWCGGUGUUUGCACACUACGUGUCAAGGAUGCUGACGAUCAUACGGCUCUAUCCGACCCGUCUUGAAACACGGACCAAGGAGUCUAACAUGUGCGCGAGUCUCCGGGUGAUCGAAACCCGUGGGCAUAAUGAAAGUAAAGAUCGUCAUAGACGGUUGAGGUGAGAAGCCCCAAAAGGGCUGCAUCAUCGACCGACCUAUUCUGCUCUCAGAAAGGUUUGAGUAAGAGCGUAUCUGUUGGGACCCGAAAGAUGGUGAACUAUGCCUGAAUAGGGUGAAGCCAGCGGAAACACUGGUGGAAGCUCGUAGCGAUUCUGACGUGCAAAUCGAUCGUCGAAUUUGGGUAUAGCGGCGAAAGACUAAUCGAACCAUCUAGUAGCUGGUUCCCUCCGAAG